rnacentral:rRNA from 1 species
GAUGAACGCUAGCGGCAGGCUUAAUACAUGCAAGUCGAGGGGCAGCAUGAUUGUAGCAAUACAAUUGAUGGCGACCGGCAAACGGGUGCGGAACACGUACACAACCUCCCAAUAAGUGGGGAAUAGCCCAGAGAAAUUUGGAUUAAUACCCCGUAACAUAACGAUGUGGCAUCACAUUGUUAUUAUAGAUUUUUCGCUUAUUGAUGGGUGUGCGGCUGAUUAGAUAGUUGGCGGGGUAACGGCCCACCAAGUCUACGAUCAGUAGCUGAUGUGAGAGCAUGAUCAGACAACCGGGCACAGAGACACGGGCCCGACUCCUACGGGAGGCAGCAGUAAGGAAUAUUGGACAAUGGACGCAAGUCUGAUCCAGCCAUGCCGCGUGAAGGAUUAAGGUCCUCUGGAUUGUAAACUUCUUUUAUAAGGGACGAAAAAAGGCUUUUCUAAGUCGUCUGACGGUACCUUAUGAAUAAGCACCGGCUAACUCCGUGCCAGCAGCCGCCGUAAGAC